UACGUAGGGUGCAAGCGUUGUCCGGAAUUAUUGGGCGUAAAGAGCUCGUAGGCGGUCUGUCGCGUCUGCUGUGAAAGCCCGGGGCUUAACCCCGGGUCUGCAUUCGAUACGGGCAGGCUAGAGUGUGGUAGGGGAGAUCGGAAUUCCUGGUGUAGCGGUGAAAUGCGCAGAUAUCAGGAGGAACACCGGUGGCGAAGGCGGAUCUCUGGGCCAUUACUGACGCUGAGGAGCGAAAGCGUGGGGAGCGAACAGG
rnacentral:rRNA from 1 species